GAUGAACGCUAGCUACAGGCUUAACACAUGCAAGUCGAGGGGCAGCAUGAUUGAAGCUUGCUUCAAUUGAUGGCGACCGGCGCACGGGUGAGUAACACGUAUCCAACCUUCCGUACACUCAGGGAUAGCCUUUCGAAAGAAAGAUUAAUACCUGAUGGUAUCUUAAGCACACAUGUAAUUAAGAUUAAAGAUUUAUCGGUGUACGAUGGGGAUGCGUUCCAUUAGGUAGUAGGCGGGGUAACGGCCCACCUAGCCUACGAUGGAUAGGGGUUCUGAGAGGAAGGUCCCCCACAUUGGAACUGAGACACGGUCCAAACUCCUACGGGAGGCAGCAGUGGGGAAUAUUGCACAAUGGGGGAAACCCUGAUGCAGCGACGCCGCGUGAGUGAUGAAGUAUUUCGGUAUGUAAAGCUCUAUCAGCAGGGAAGAUAAUGACGGUACCUGACUAAGAAGCACCGGCUAAAUACGUGCCAGCAGCCG
rnacentral:rRNA from 1 species